GAUCAUGGGCUCAGGAUGAACGCUGGCGGCGUGCUUAACACAUGCAAGUCGAACGAAGCACUUCAUAAAGUUUACUUUAAGAAGUGACUUAGUGGCGGACGGGUGAGUAACGCGUGGGUAACCUGCCUUACACAGGGGGAUAACAGUUAGAAAUGACUGCUAAUACCGCAUAAAACAGCAGAGUCGCAUGACUCAACUGUCAAAGAUUUAUCGGUGUAAGAUGGACCCGCGUCUGAUUAG
rnacentral:rRNA from 1 species